rnacentral:lncRNA from 1 species
UUUAGGAAAUCUGGUUUCAAGUGUUUAUUCAAAGUUGUGAUCUGACGAUAAUGAAUAAUAGUUGAAAUUGAUUCAAUUAGUUAUGUUUCUUUUGGUGGCUACUCAUAUGUGUUGUACACGAAUUGUUGCAAAGUAAAUCAAUUGGUGUGAUGAAUGUUUGAUGCAGGCAUGAGAUCGUGGGCAUAGCAACAGAGGUAGGCAACAAGGUUGAGAAAG